UACGUAGGGGGCAAGCGUUGUCCGGAUUUAUUGGGCGUAAAGAGCUCGUAGGCGGCUUGUCGCGUCGAAUGUGAAAACUCGGGGCUCAACUCCGAGCUUGCAUUCGAUACGGGCAGGCUAGAGUUCGGUAGGGGAGACUGGAAUUCCUGGUGUAGCGGUGAAAUGCGCAGAUAUCAGGAGGAACACCGGUGGCGAAGGCGGGUCUCUGGGCCGAUACUGACGCUGAGGAGCGAAAGCGUGGGGAGCGAACAGG
rnacentral:rRNA from 1 species